rnacentral:rRNA from 1 species
AUUGAACGCUGGCGGCAUGCCUUACACAUGCAAGUCAAACGGCAGCAUAGGAGCUUGCUCCUGAUGGCGAGUGGCGAACGGGUGAGUAAUAUAUCGGAACGUGCCCUAGAGUGGGGGAUAACUAGUCGAAAGACUAGCUAAUACCGCAUACGAUCUACGGAUGAAAGUGGGGGAUCGCAAGACCUCAUGCUCCUGGAGCGGCCGAUAUCUGAUUAGCUAGUUGGUGGGGUAAAAGCCUACCAAGGCAACGAUCAGUAGCUGGUCUGAGAGGACGACCAGCCACACUGGGACUGAGCCACGGCCCAGACUCCUACGGGAGGCAGCAGUGGGGAAUUUUGGACAAUGGGGGCAACCCUGAUCCAGCAAUGCCGCGUGAGUGAAGAAGGCCUUCGGGUUGUAAAGCUCUUUUGUCAGGGAAGAAACGGUAGUAGCGAAUAACUACUACUAAUGACGGUACCUGAAGAAUAAGCACCGGCUAACUACGUGCCAGCAGCCGCCGUAA